rnacentral:rRNA from 1 species
UACGAAGGGGGCUAGCGUUGCUCGGAAUUACUGGCGUAAAGCGCACGUAGGCGGGUUCUUAAGUCGGUGGUGAAAUCCUGGAGCUCAACUCCAGAACUGCCUUCGAAACUGGGAAUCUUGAGUCCGGGAGAGGUGAGUGGAACUGCGAGUGUAGAGGUGAAAUUCGUAGAUAUUCGCAAGAACACCAGUGGCGAAGGCGGCUCACUGGCCCGGUACUGACGCUGAGGUGCGAAAGCGUGGGGAGCGAACAGG